UCCGCCUCACUUCAGCUGCGGACACAAGGCAGGAAGCUUCAAAGAGCCCGUGGACCGACAGAGGCGAGGGGCGCUGUAAUGUUGAGUCGCUGGGCUGUGGCGUCUGAGCAACACUUUGAUGGAGUAACACCCGCUGCUGCCGGUUGAAACUGAUCAUUUUGGGUUUGGGAGGGAACGAGAGCGCGUGCCCACGCGGAGACUGAAAAAAAUAAUAAAAUAAAAAUGCUCUUCUAGCGCGAGCGCUGACGGGUUCGCUUCACAUAAAUUCAACUUUGGAGCCAUUAUUUGCUUCCCUUCUUGUUUCUGCUUUGGAGCCUGGAGCAACUUUUGUUUCCGUCGUGUUUUAACCUGCUGUCCGUUUGACUCGGAGCGUGAAGAGCCGUGGACGAGAUGGAGAGCGAGAAGUACUUACCGGAGCUUCAGGCGGAGAAGGACUCGUUGGACCCGUCUUUUCAGCACUCCCUGCGGCUGCUGGAGCAAGAGAUCGAUAAAAUCCAGAGAGAUGAGGGGAAGGAGGAGGAGAAGUUCAUUGACGUUGUCAUCAACAAGAACAUGAAACUGGGCCAGAAAGUUUUAAUACCAGUCAAGCAGUUUCCUAAGUUUAACUUUGUCGGCAAGCUCCUUGGGCCACGCGGGAACUCGUUAAAGAGACUACAAGAGGACACCCUCACAAAGAUGUCGAUUCUCGGAAAAGGAUCCAUGAGAGACAAAGAGAAGGAAGAAGAGCUACGGCAGAGCGGCGAGGCCAAAUAUCACCAUCUGAACGAAGACUUACAUGUCCUCAUCGAGGUAUUCGCCCCGCCAGCUGAGGCCUAUGCCAGGAUGGGCCACGCUCUAGAAGAGAUCAAGAAGUUUCUCAUUCCAGACUACAAUGAUGAGAUCAGACAAGCCCAGCUGCAGGAGCUCACAUACCUGAACGGCGGCUCUGAGGAUGCCAAGGUGCCAUCGGUCAGGGGCAAGUCGGCAGCCCGUGGCAGGGGGACACCUGUUCCAGGGCCUCCAAGGAGUCGUGGAGGAGUUCCACCGCUGCAUGCAGCAGUUCCCCGAGGAGCAGCGCCCCGAGGAUCUCCGCCCAGCCGGGCCCCAUCCUCCAGAGGAAGAGGGGUCCAAAGAGCCAGAGGCGCCCCACCAGCUGCUGGCUACAGGGCAGCUCCACCCAUAGUGCAGGACACAUACGGUGAAUAUGAUUAUGAUGACGGCUACGGAACCGCUUACGAUGACCAAGGGUACGAGUCUUACGACAACAGCUACAGUAAUCAAGGACAAAACUCAGAUGACUACUAUGAAUAUGGACACAGCGGGGAGUCAUAUGAGUCGUACGGUCAGGAAGAGUGGGCAAACAGUCGCGGCAAGGCUCCGUCGGUGCGGACGACCAAGGGAGCGUACAGGGAUCAGCCAUACUCCAGAUACUGAACUGUUUUUACGAGCCGCACCUCCUUCCCCCCGAUGCCCAUGGCGGUUUCAACCCAAGCUGAGGUCAGAGCUGACCACCGCUGUCUGUCCAAACACGUUCCUACUGCUGAAGGAUUAAAGAACAAUGGACGCGUCUUUCCAGAAGCAUUGUCCGAACGAAUCGGCGUCCAAAUUCACAGAAGAUCUUUGUUUGACCAUUUGUUGCUUUUUUAAAAACAUUUACAAUGUGGACUGUGGUCAUUACUUCAUGGCUUCGGAAAAAGAUGGAAAGUGACUUGUUUGGAGACGCAGAAAACAGGGUUGGAAGCUACAUCACAUGCAUCAGACCUCGUCGUUCUCCGGAGAAAAGAGCAAAAAAAAAGCCGUGAAUGGGCUUCAGCGUCCGCCGGGACUCAAAGAAGAAAAACUCUUUCAGAGCAUCAUUGACUCUCUGUAACUUCUUCACACACGCAGAACUGUUCUGGAUCGACUGCGAGCCAGAACCCGUCUCUCCUGUUUGCGGUAGAGAAGAUGUGUGAAACUUUUAUGGUAGACGUCAACCGUUGCCUGCCUGGAUGGAUGAGUUUGUGAAUAAUGCAGCAUGCCCAGGGAGGAACGUCGUGAUCCUAAAGGGAUUUCUGUUUUUCUCUCAUUGUUGUCAAUAAUUUCAAUCCGGUGUGCCCAAGUGAAUUAACAACUCAAAAAGUGCCUUUCUGUGACAGUUUUAGACAUUUUUGAGCUAAAAUUCAGCUGCCAGACUAGCUAACUGUUUUCUUUUCUAUGUGUGUCACCACGAUGUUAGAGACUCCUUUCCGUCCUCACAGACGACGGCGCCCCGUUGCAGAUGCAUCGCUUAAUCACGCUCCACUUCGGUGGAUAUUCCAAUUCUGAAAUAGCUUUUCCGCUGAUGCAGAGUGUGCUCCGUAAGUCCAGACGGACUCAUCCCUAUUCCACACACUUGUAAGUUCUCAAAGGCAGACAAUAGUUUUCCAUUAGAGGAAGCGAUUGUCGGCGGAGCCCCGGGCACAGCCUCAGACAAUAACACGGCGACCCAAAGCUCACAUGUCGGCCUGCCGGAGUCAACUCUCAUCACCUCCAGGGACUGAUUCCCACUCUGAAGUGGCUUAAAGACACAGGCUUAUCUGAAGUAAGCUUGUCUGAGUUAAUAGAGAAAGAACAGCUUAUUUGAUUAAGAAUGCAUACAAAGGAGGAUGUAGUGAUCUGUGGCUAGGAGACGAGUCAAUUUCAGCUCCAGAGUACAAAUCAAUGUGUCUCUAACAGACCAUAAGACUGCUUAGCUCAGCAAUGAAAUUAGACUGAGGCGAAAUACUAAAGCAGUGAUGAACUUGUGAAUAAGGGGCAACUUUUGCUCAAGAUGUUACAUUGCCCUGUUGCGAUGGUGUUUGCUUGUUUUCUUUACGAUUGUGAGUCAUAUAUGAACUCAUCUUUACUUCACCAUUGCCAUGCUGUUUAGUCAUGUUCAUAAGGGCCAUCUUCAGCUGGAAUCAUUGCUGUAUAGCUAACAAUUAAUCUGACUUGACUUAACAGAUACGUAAUCCUCCGAUUGCUAGGUUCCAUUAGGUUCCUCUACUGCAGGGUUUUAUUUUGGACCAUAUCUAGAUCGCACAUGUUUUCAAAUUGUUGAAAAAUGUAAAGCAAACUGUUCAAUCAUUAAAGUGGUAGUAUUAUCUAUUUUCCAGGCAUAUAAUGCCAUUUUAUAGCACAAUCAAAUAACAAUGUUAACUUCAGUUUUUAUA